rnacentral:lncRNA from 1 species
AAAAAUUAUCGUCUUUGUGUGAAUGUUGAGCAGGGCCACACGUGGUACUUCUGGACUUCAGUCAUGCAUCUGCAUCCAAGGAUAGGGCAGCCAGAGAGGAAGACGUUGCAAUCUACCGCUCAGAGAUGAACAGUGCCAGAAGUAGGAGGGAACAAUGAACAAUAUCUGCCGAUUUAAUGAUUCGUCCUCAGUCGUGAAGCGCAAGUGCCACACUUGUGAAGGUGCCAGUCCUUACGGUGUAAGUAACCUAUUGAAGGUGCCCAAUCCAGUAUGUCUUCCCAUAUCUGGUAUCUAAGUUCAUUUUUGCCCUGGGGCACUUAAUUAUAACGGGGUCAAGACAGUCAAUAUCCAGCAGUCACCUUCAUACAUUAUGGUCGAAGAUUACAGCCAAUCAGCUGCGGAGCAAGUAAGGCAGCAGCAACCUGACAAACUCACAUUCGUCACCUUAUUGUUCUUGGCCAGAUGCUUUCAUUGCUGACUUCAAUCGUGCACUAGAGGAGACACCCUGCGCCUGACAAUGCAAAUGCAGGCUAGACUGUCUGAAAACUAACAGACAAAACAUUAAGUCCCAGUGAAUUCGUCAUUCUCUCAAACACAAGGGCCAAAGCUGCUCACAACGCCGGGAAGACACUUAGGAAUUGUUGCUUCUGCAUGGACUCAUGUGCAGCCUUUACUGAUGCUUCUAGGCUUGCCAUAACUUUUGAUGGAAUACAAUUUUCUUAUAAUAUCAAAUAAUACUGCUCACCUGCAGGUUAUGCGUUGGUGAUCUACAAGUACACUAAGCCGAACUGUAAGAAAACAAAGUUGUCUACCUCCCCGAAACAUGGUUAUAACACACAGAAUGAAAUUGCAUAUGCUUCUGGGU